UACGGGGGGGGUAAGCGUUGUUCGGAAUUACUGGGCGUAAAGGGCUCGUAGGCGGCCAACUAAGUCAGACGUGAAAUCCCUCGGCUUAACCGGGGAACUGCGUCUGAUACUGGAUGGCUUGAGAUUGGGAGAGGGAUGCGGAAUUCCAGGUGUAGCGGUGAAAUGCGUAGAUAUCUGGAGGAACACCGGUGGCGAAGGCGGCAUCCUGGACCAACACUGACACUGAGGAGCGAAAGCCAGGGGAGCAAACGGG
rnacentral:rRNA from 1 species